rnacentral:rRNA from 1 species
CCUACGGGCGGCAGCAGUGGGGAAUAUUGCACAAUGGGGGAAACCCUGAUGCAGCGACGCCGCGUGAGUGAAGAAGUAAUUCGUUAUGUAAAGCUCUAUCAGCAGGGAAGAAAAUGACGGUACCUGAGUAAGAAGCCCCGGCUAACUACGUGCCAGCAGCCGCGGUAAUACGGAGGGGGCAAGCGUUAUCUGGAUUUACUGGGUGUAAAGGGAGCGUAGACGGCAGUGCAAGUCUGGAGUGAAAGGCGGGGGCUCAACCCCGGGACUGCUCUGGAAACUGUACGGCUGGAGUGCAGGAGAGGUAAGCGGAAUGCGUAGUGUAGCGGUGAAAUGCGUAGAUAUUAGGAGGAACACCAGUGGCGAAGGCGGCUUACUGGACUGUAACUGACGUUGAGGCACGAAAGCGUGGGGAGCGAACAGGAUUAGAUACCCCAGUAGUC